GACGAACGCUGGCGGCGUGCCUAAUACAUGCAAGUCGAGCGGACUAAUGGGAGCUUGCUCCCGUUAGUUAGCGGCGGACGGGUGAGUAACACGUGGGCAACCUACCUGUAAGACUGGGAUAACUUCGGGAAACCGGAGCUAAUACCGGAUGACAUAAAGGAACUCCUGUUCCUUUAUUGAAAGAUGGCCUCGGCUAUCACUUACAGAUGGGCCCGCGGCGCAUUAGCUAGUUGGUGAGGUAACGGCUCACCAAGGCGACGAUGCGUAGCCGACCUGAGAGGGUGAUCGGCCACACCGGGACUGAGACACGGCCCAGACUCCUACGGGAGGCAGCAGUAGGGAAUCUUCCGCAACGGACGAAAGUCUGACGGAGCAACGCCGCGUGAGCGAUGAAGGCCUUCGGGUCGUAAAGCUCUGUUGUUAGGGAAGAAUAAGUGCUAGUUGAAUAAGCUGGCACCUUGACGGUACCUAACCAGAAAGCCACGGCUAACUACGUGCCAGCCGCCGCGGUAACAC
rnacentral:rRNA from 1 species